rnacentral:misc_RNA from 1 species
UUGUGGAGGAGGACGCCGAAGGUGGGGCUAAUGACUGGGGUGAAGUCGUAACAAGGUAGCCGUACCGGAAGGUGCGGCUGGAUCACCUCCUAACAGGGAGACAACAAAAUGUUUAAUAUUAUUAUUUUGUCACCUUAGGUCGAUCGGUAUCUCACGUUUUUAAUUUGUUAAGAAUUUCAUUUCCUAAGUUUUUCUAGGUCACACCCAUUAUUUUCCUGGGCCAUUAGCUCAGGUGGUUAGAGCGCACCCCUGAUAAGGGUGAGGUCCCUGGUUCAAGUCCAGGAUGGCCCAUAUCUCUAUGUUGGGGGUAUAGCUCAGUUGGUAGAGCGCCUGCUUUGCAAGCAGGAUGUCAGCGGUUCGAGUCCGCUUACCUCCACUGAUUACCACCUCUUCCAUAAUCAGUAGAAAGGAAAAUUUUUGGGUUGUGAUCAUUAUUCUGAACGAAUCUAGCUUCCUAAUGAAAUCAUUAAGAUGCUGGACUCAUUGAAUUAAUUUCAUUGUUUUCAGAGAACCUUGACAACUGCAUAGAUUAUUUUUUAAAGACAAUAAGCAUCUUUAAUGAUGCAGAUUUAUUAUUUGUGCAAAUGCAUUAAUAACAAUUCUAUUAAGCUGAUGCUUCAAUUUUGAAGUUAUUGGUCAAGCUACAA